rnacentral:lncRNA from 1 species
CUUCGAAACUUACCCUGAGAAUGACUGGGACACAGCCGCGCCCGUGCCGCAGAAGGAUUUAGAAAUCUUCAAGAAUUUCUGAGGACAGGAGCUCACAUCUGGAAGUCUUCCCAGUUAUGUGAAGUGGAAAGCCAAUUGGCUAACCAACACCAUUCGAAACAGACACCAAAUGUCACAAUUGCUGACUGGGGAGAGGAACCAACCUGCUGAAAGACGUGAAACAGGAAGAUUGGAAUCUGCCUGGAACAAAGAACUGCACCUAAGCAGACCAGAAGCAAAAUGUCUUCUUCACGGCAUAAGGACAUCUCCACUUUUCUCUGUACCUGUGUGUAUAGAAAUAGAUUAGAGCACAGUUGAAAUUCAUGGAACUGGCAUUAUUUAAGCAACUGGAAUUCCACACUGUAGGAAGGUUUUGAAAAUUGUUUGGUUGUAGAUUUUAUCUUAUCCUUUAGUGUUGUGUUCCUACUGUGAUGUCUUGGUUUUUGUCAUAGACUUAAGUUUAUAAGUUUGAACUGGACUUGUUCGAUUAUAACCACAAA